CGUAGGGCGCAAGCGUUGUCCGGAAUUAUUGGGCGUAAAGAGCUCGUAGGCGGUCUGUCGCGUCUGGUGUGAAAUCCCAUGGCUCAACUGUGGGCUUGCAUCGGGUACGGGCAGACUAGAGUGCUGUAGGGGAGACUGGAAUUCCUGGUGUAGCGGUGGAAUGCGCAGAUAUCAGGAGGAACACCGAUGGCGAAGGCAGGUCUCUGGGCAGUUACUGACGCUGAGGAGCGAAAGCAUGGGGAGCGAACAGGAUU
rnacentral:rRNA from 1 species